UUAGCUCAUGUUUGUAUGGAAUGGGAUCGUUUGCGUACGUUUGUCGCUAGGGGCGUUGUUCCAACUGCAUACAAAAUUGGGUUA
rnacentral:pre_miRNA from 1 species